rnacentral:rRNA from 1 species
AGAGUUUGAUCCUGGCUCAGGACGAACGCUGGCGGCGCGCCUAACACAUGCAAGUCGAACGAGCGGAGUUCCUUCGGGGACGAAGCUAGUGGCGGACGGGUGAGUAACACGUGAGUAACCUGCCCUACAGAGUGGAAUACCGUUUGGAAACGAACGUUAAUACCGCAUAACAUAUGCGAAUCGCAUGGUUUGCAUAUCAAAGAUUUAUCGCUGUAGGAUGGACUCGCGUCUGAUUAGAUAGUUGGUGAGGUAACGGCCCACCAAGUCGACGAUCAGUAGCCGGACUGAGAGGUUGAUCGGCCACAUUGGGACUGAGACACGGCCCAGACUCCUACGGGAGGCAGCAGUGGGGGAUAUUGCACAAUGGGCGAAAGCCUGAUGCAGCGACGCCGCGUGAGGGAAGACGGUUUUCGGAUUGUAAACCUCUGUCUUCGGGGACGAAAAUGACGGUACCCGAGGAGGAAGCCACGGCUAACUACGUGCCAGCAGCCGCGGUAAUACGUAGGUGGCGAGCGUUGUCCGGAAUUACUGGGUGUAAAGGGAGCGUAGGCUGUGCGUCAAGUCAGGGGUGAAAUUCCGGGGCUCAACUCCGGGGCUGCCCUUGAUACUGUCGCGCUGGAGUGCGGAUGCCGCCGGAGGAAUGAGUGGUGUAGCGGUGAAAUGCUUAGAUAUCACUCAGAACACCGAUUGCGAAGGCAUCUGGCGAAUCCGUAACUGACGCUGAGGCACGAAAGCGUGGGGAUAGAACAGGAUUAGAUACCCUGGUAUUCCACGCCGUAAACGAUGAUGGCUAACCGCCGGCGACACACUGUCGGUGGCCAAGCGAAAGCGAUAAGCCAUCCACCUGGGGAGUACGUCGGCAACGAUGAAACUCAAAGGAAUUGACGGGGGCCCGCACAAGCGGAGGAACAUGUGGUUUAAUUCGAUGAUACGCGAGGAACCUUACCCGGGCUCGAACGGCGCCUGAACCACCCAGAGAUGGGUGGGUCUUCGGACAGGUGCCGAGGUGCUGCAUGGUUGUCGUCAGCUCGUGCCGUGAGGUGUCGGCUCAAGUGCCAUAACGAGCGCAACCCCUGCCGCCAGUUGCCGUCAGGUCAUGCUGGGCACUCUGGCGGGACUGCCACCGCAAGGUGUGAGGAGGGGGGGGAUGACGUCAAAUCAGCACGGCCCUUACGUCCGGGGCGACACACGUGUUACAAUGGCGGCCACAGAGGGAGGCUACCCGGCGACGGGAUGCGGAUCUCGAAAAGCCGUCCCAGUUCGGACUGGAGUCUGCAACCCGACUCCACGAAGUUGGAUUCGCUAGUAAUCGCGCAUCAGCCAUGGCGCGGUGAAUACGUUCCCGGGCCUUGCACUCACCGCCCGUCA